GAAAUGCGAUAAGUAAUGUGAAUUGCAGAAUUCAGUGAAUCAUCGAAUCUUUGAACGCACAUUGCGCCCGCCAGUAUUCUGGCGGGCAUGCCUGUUCGAGCGUCAUUACAACCCUCAGGCCCCCGGGCCUGGCGUUGGGGAUCGGCGGAAGCCCCCUGCGGGCACAACGCCGUCCCCCAAAUACAGUGGCGGUCCCGCCGCAGCUUCCAUGGCGUAGUAGCUAACACCUCGCAACUGGAGAGCGGCGCGGCCACGCCGUAAAACACCCAACUUCUGAAUGUUGACCUCGAAUCAGGUAGGAAUACCCGCUGAACUUAAGC
rnacentral:misc_RNA from 1 species